ACCCAAGGUAGAACACCAGCAUGUGUCUGUUCCUAUGGAGCCUGACAUUCUGGUAACUAUAGUGACAGAGACCACCACACAGAAAGAGGGACCACUCCAGCAGCGGUAACCUCCGUAGGAAUUCCAGUGUGGGAUGUGUGCAAUGAAGCCUCCUUAAAGAAGCUUUGGCCUCAGAGGCGGGGCAUACGGCUUCCCCUUUCUCUUCCCUGCUCUCCUGCUUUUCUAGUGAUAUUGCUUCCACCCUUCCUGAAUUCAGUUUUUCUGACCUUUCAACUCCAGCCCAUCAUAAAGCAUAGCACUCAGGCAUGAGCCAGCCUGCAGGACUAUAUCUGUUUGCCUUGUUAUCCAACAACCCAGCGACACGAGUGGUUUUUCUGAGAGUCUGGGUCCCAUUGUGGACACAAGUGCACCAUUCUUUGUCAAGACAGGCAGCAUCCCAUCAAUAACCAAAACCCAGAAGGAUUCUCAGUCUCUCAUUUCUAAUACCGAAAACUGGUUCCCUUUGACCGCCGAGGGCCAUGCCUAGAAGGAACUGGUCUCUGAAAUUGUUGGUUUAUUCUUGACUACAAUCAGAGUUGGGACAUGUAGAAGGAUCAUUGUUCCUUCAUUGGAAGAAGAUUUAUUUCCUUCAGAGAUGGCUCAUGAAAAUGUACAAAGAGGUCAUGUAUUAGCCAGACAUGGUGGAGCGGGCCAGGAGACUGAGGCAGGAGGGUUGAAAACAGUCUGACGUAGCAAGAUCCUGGCUGGCCUGCAGAGCAAGUUCAAAGACAGCCAGAGUUAUACAGUGCACAGGGAAAGCCUGUCUCAACAAAGCCACAACAAAAACAAACAAAUACACAAACUUCAUCCAA